CAGGACCACCUCAGAAGCUGUUCCCCACACCAGCACCCCAGCUACUUUGGCUGCCUCAGCUGUGACUUAAAUUGGUCCCAGGUGUGGCUGAAUGCGCAGCUUUGAAAAAUACCGGCUGGAAGCCUUGGUAGAGUACACAUGGUGUUAGGUCUGCAGACUCACAGAAUGCCAGAGCUGGGAAGGCUUGGGAGCCCCCACCCUGAUUUCAAAGCAUGUAUAGAAAAUUCUGGGAGCCCAGGAGAAGAUCUAUCACAGGGGUGGAGUCACCACACUGCUUUGGCUAGAGCCGUGCUGAGAGGAAAUGCGGGGUCAGAGUUAGAGCAGAGAAACCCCAACAGUGCCAUUUCUAGUGGAGCCAUGAGAGCGGGACCACCAUGGAGACCCCAGACCUGUGGAGCUACCAGAGUGGAACACCAGCCUGGGAGAGCAGAAGUGUGGCCUGAGACCAGGAAAGGCAUAGGAGCAGAGCUGCCUGAGGACUUGGAGACCCAGCCCCCACACCAGCAUGCAGAGGACAUCAAACAUGGAGUAAAGGUGCCCUUACUGGGAAGAACAGGGUGAGAAUCGUGGCCCUGGCCCCUUCUCUCUCUCCUUAGCUCCCUGUCAAGCAUGAGAGCCUGUUCAUUGCCUCUAAGAUGACAGAGGGCGGGUCGCCCAGAUCAGCUGUCAGUCUCCCGAUCACCUGGUGAGCAGAGCCAGGCCCCGCCCCGUCGCGCCCGCACAGUGCGGCCGUUGACGCCCGAGCCAGGGAGGCGCAAGGCAGUUGCAGUUCAGCGGGAGCGGCGAGUGUGGCGUCGAGUCCUGGGAGCGGGAGCAGCAGGCGGCGGCGGCGACUGAGUGGACGUGGGCGGCUCCGUCUGGCUCCGGCGGGAACGCGACGGAGUGAUGGCGGAGCGCUCGGGGGUCUGCUGAUGGCGGCCUCGGUGGCCGGCAGGUGCCCUUACUGGGAAGAACACGGCGAGAAUCCUGGCCCUGGCCCCUUCGCUCCCUGUCAAGCAUCAGAGCCUGUUCAUUGGCUCUAACUUGGCAGGGGGCGGGGCCUCCCAGAGCAGCUGUCCGUCUUGAGCGGAGCCAGGCCCCGCCCCGUCGCGCCUGCGCAGUGCGUCCGUUGGCGCCAGGAGCCUGGGCUGUAGAGCAGUUGCAGUUCGGCAGGAACGCUGCUGUGCAGCGGCGAGUCCUGGGAACAGCAGCAGCAGCAGGCGGCGGCGGCGGCGGAGCAGACGCGGGGACGGCGGCGCGCUUGGGGGUCUGCGGACGGCGGUCUCGAUGGCGGGCAGGGGUGAAAAGAAGUUAGAAGAAGAAAUCAACUAUUUUGCCCAAGCAUUUUGUUCAAUUUGGAAGACAUGACAUUGAGAAAAGAAUGGGGACUGUGGAGUUAGAAGUGGAGUCAGUAUGGCCUUUCAGUGAGUGGAUAUUGAAAGGAAAAACCCGGCCCAAACACAGAAUGAGAAACACACCAGGAGACAAAGGCUCAACCCUGACAUAUUAAGAAGGCAAGAUGGACAGGUGGGCUGCUCUCUCGAAAGUGGGAGCAGCAGCAGGGAGAGUUGGAGUGGGCCCUUUAUAUCCCGUUAAGGAACACCCCAGAAACACAGGAAGCAGCAGCAAGAGAUGGCGUGUCCUCCCAGAGUGGAGACUGCUGCCCAUGCUGAGAGUGGAAAGUGGAACAUGCCUGGAGGGGUGACCCUCCUCAUGGGGACUUCUCAGUGUUGGUGGAGCUUCCUCUCCAGAGCAGCUCCAUGGCCUGUCUGGGGGUUGACUUUAGCAAUAAGAGCAGCAGCCCAUGCCGCUGACCAUCUGGGAGGGUAGGGAGUCCCCGUGACAGACCUUUCAAGUCCUUCUCCCCCAAUGACACCUCCAGGGCCCCUCCAGUCCCCACCCCAGUCUCUCUCUUCAGUAGCUUGCUCUGGGGACAGGUCAGAGGAAGUUUCUCCUGGUGUCUGGGGCUUGUGUAACAGGCAUCUGGGAACAGGAAGCUUAUGGGAAAGGAAGAACACAGGUGGUCCAGCUCUCUCAGAAGGGGCCUGGGUGUGAAUUCCUGUUCUACUACUUACUACCUAUGUCAUCUCUGAAAGGCUACUCAUCCCUCAUAGGCUUCAGUUGAUCUUUAAAAAGAAACUAAAAAGGGAGGACCGCUGCUGCUGGCCGGUCGUGGGGGGUGACCGCCACUUUGCCCCCGGCAGGAGAGGCUGCCUCACUUACAGGCAACAGCUUUGAAGUGUGGAGCAGGAAAAGAACUGUUUCUUAGCUGCAAAAGCGAGUCUCGAAACAGGGAACACGGAGCCAGGGCUGCUGUGGAUGCAGACAGGAUCCCGGAGGCCGGGGCCGCGCUGAAGGCGGCCAGCUGCCCUAUUCAGGAUUCAAGGUUUCAGGCUGGCAUUAAAGAAGAUUCCUGGGAGCGCCCGAGCCGCGCCACAACUGAACAGCCCGAGGCGGCAGCAGCUGAGAACAGGGAAGGCGGCAAACCAGAGGCAGAGAGUGAGCGCCUGACCUGGCACAGCCCUGUG